GGCGGCGGCAGCAGCUGACAGGAUUGGGGCUGCCUUGCUUUUGCUUUCCCCGAAGAUCGCGCAGUUGGAAGGGACCACGCGGCAUCUAGCGCAACCCCCCCCCCAAAUGCAGGAAUUUCCCCCGCCGCGCGGGAUUCGAACCCAGGACUCUGCGAUUAAGAUUCUCACGCUGUGCUGCUGAGUGAGCAACCAGGGAUUGCAAGCGAUCCGCUUCUCGGGAGUAGGUGGGGCGUCCGGUUUGCUGGGGGGUUUUGGGGGGGGUUGCAAAGAGAAGCAUGGUGUUAGCGAAGGCAGCGUUGCACAGUCCCUGCUUCGGAGCAGCUGCUUGGCUUGCAGAAGGGACCGGCUUCAAUCCGCGACAUCUCCCUGUUUGUGAACCCUGGGGAGCUGCUGCCAGUCCGUGUAGACAACACGGAGCUAGGCAGAGCGGUAGGUCGGACUUAGGAACUCAGGGAAGGGCCUGAUUGCGAAGUCUGCUGCUGCUGCUACUGGAGCUUUAAGAACCUGCCUACAAUUUAAGGUGGCGCUGCGAUUUCUGCAGGGUGAGCAGAAACUACGGAGAAAGUUGCAUUUGUUUUGGUUUUUAAAAAAUCAGACUCGCCUUUAUUUAUGAAUUAAAUUUAACACUUCCAUCCUCCGGGUGGUACUUGUGGUCAGACUCAUUCCCUGCCUUCCACGUGCCCCCCACCCCGUGCUGGACCCAGUGAGUCCCGUGCUGGGAUGUUUCUCUUUAAUGGGGUUUGCCAGUAAAACGUUCUUCGAUAACUUUGCAUUGUCAGUUUCACAGAACGCUCAGUUAGCCUUAAUGAAGUACAGAGUGUUUAGGGAAGUUUUUUAUGUAUUUUUAAUCUUUGUUGGAAGCUGCCCAGAGUGGCUGGGGAAACUCAGCCAGAUGGGCGGGGUACAAAUAAUAAUAAUAAUUAUUAUUAUUUAUUAUUAUUUAUUAUCCUCCUCCUCUGUUGAGCUAAUUCAAUACCCAUUAAUUCCACUCCACUCUCUCAGGUUUCCCACUUUUGCACUCAAGAAGGCAUUCAUUUUAUAGGGAAGACCCACAGCUCAGUGAUAGUGAUGGGCUUUCCUGGAAUCUCUCAUUAUGGUCAGAGGGAUUAAGGCUUUCCCCAAAACCUACUAAGAUUGCAGAGUAAGGGCGGUCAGGAUAGGCAGGUUUGGACUACAUCUGGGAGUCAAGAUGCAAUCCAACAGGAUCUGGAAGAUACAAGCUUCCAUCUCUGGCGCCACCUACUGGUAGCCUCCUUGCCUUCUGCCCUACCAGUAAUGGGCAACUGCCACCACAGCCCACUUCCUAAAUAGUAGGGUCUGUUCAGCACCCCAGUGUUCAAGGAACACAAUGAGGUUAAAGGGGCACUGGAUGAAUUUUGAUUACAAGUGGCUAUUAAAUUUAUGCUGGCUCACAGCAUUUCAAUUAAGGUACACUCCUUCAUGAGAUGGGAAACUCACAAUUAACAAAACAAACUCUAGAACCGUGGUGUGGUGUUGCAGCUCUCCUAAAAAAAGGAAGCUUAAUUCUUUUAUUUCAAUUUAUUAAAACUUGUGGGAAUGAUGGUAUUUCUAAAACAAGCGUUUUCUUUGGUACGAUGCACACACAUGCCAAGACAGACAGACAGACAGGUUAAAUGGCUCACUGGCUUUGGUACUUGCUUUCUGCAGUUUCUAAAAGGUCCUGUAAUUAUGGUGCUGGAGGAGACUCUUGAGAGUCCCAUGGACUGCAAGAUGAUCAAACCUAUCCAUUCCUAAGGAAAUCAGCCCUGAGUGCUCACUGGAUCCUGAAGCUGAGGCUCCAAUACUUUGGCCACCUCAUGAGAAGAGAAGACUCCCUGGAAAAGACCCUGAUGUUGGGAAAGAUGGAGGGCACAAGGAGAAGGGGACGACAGAGGACGAGAUGGUUGGACAGUGUUCUUGAAGCUACCAGCAUGAGUUUGACCAAACUGUGGGAGGCAGUGGAAGACAGAAGUGCCUGGCAUGCUCUGGUCCAUGGGGUCAUGAAGAGUUGGACACGACUAAAUGACUAAACAACAACAAUUAUUGUACUUGUGUUUUAGUUCUGCUAUACAAUCAUGGCACUUCGGUUCCUAACGCAGACACCAAUUAAAAUGCAGCCUGACAGUUUAGGGAAAUGAACCUCAGAUGUGCUGUGCCCAUGCAAGGAUAAACCCACCACUAAUUCCCAUCUUGGCAGAUGCAAGGGACUUGAAGCAUCAUUGCAGCCCUUCUAUUAACCUCUCAACAGUGAAUCCCUGCCUCCUUCCCAUCAACCCUAAUCCCUUUAUCUGCUGCUUUGGCAACUGCUGGCACAGUAGUGCGUUGCACAACCAUCUCAAGUCCUGUAGAGUCGUACCUUGGAAGUUGAACUGAAUCCGUUCUGGAAGUCCAUUUGACUUCCAAAACAUUCGGAAACCAAAGUAUGGCUUCUGAUCAAUCGGAAGCCCCACUGGACGUUCGGCUUCCAAAAAACGUUCGCAAACUGGAACACUCACUCCUGGGUUUGUGGGCUUCAGGAGCUAAAACGUCCGAGUUCCAAGGUACGAUUGUAAUGGGCCGGAGAGACCCUGUUGCUGAAGUCACUGCUGGGUACUGUCUUGUUAGCACUGACCUGUGACGGGGCCUCUUCAGCCGUAGUUCACCAUUUUUGUAUGGCCUUUUCUGGUGAGGUGGUCUUGCCCACCCCCCCUUAAGAGACAGGAGGAAUUGAAGAACAUUCAACAUUCCUGUUCACCUGGACAACUGACAUCUGAAACUGUUCUCAGCCACCUUGAAAUUAUUAUUUUGUGAAUAUAUGAACAUUUACAAAUGUUUUCAGAUAUUAAUGCUUUUAUUUAUUUUGAUCAUAUGGUUUUGCUGCUUUUUUGUUUGCCAGCCUGGGCUCCUUGGGGAGGAAAAGUCAGGACCAAAGUUUUAGUGACAACCACUAUGAAAAUCCUACUGUGAGUGGCUAUGUAUGUACAAGUAUCUUUAAAAAAAAUAUCAGUUUUUCACUGGGGGAUUUGUGUGUGUGUGUGUGU
rnacentral:lncRNA from 1 species